rnacentral:rRNA from 1 species
UGACAGGUGGUGCAUGGUUGUCGUCAGCUCGUGUCGUGAGAUGUUGGGUUAAGUCCCGCAACGAGCGCAACCCCUAUUGUUAGUUGCCAUCAUUCAGUUGGGCACUCUAGCGAGACUGCCGGUAAUAAACCGGAGGAAGGUGGGGAUGACGUCAAAUCAUCAUGCCCCUUAUGACCUGGGCUACACACGUGCUACAAUGGUUGGUACAACGAGUUGCGAGUCGGUGACGGCGAGCUAAUCUCUUAAAGCCAAUCUCAGUUCGGAUUGUAGGCUGCAACUCGCCUACAUGAAGUCGGAAUCGCUAGUAAUCGCGGAUCAGCACGCCGCGGUGAAUACGUUCCCGGGCCUU